rnacentral:rRNA from 1 species
CGUUAGCGGCGGACGGGUGAGUAACACGUGGGUAACCUACCUAUAAGACUGGGAUAACUUCGGGAAACCGGAGCUAAUACCGGAUAAUAUUUCGAACCGCAUGGUUCGAUAGUGAAAGAUGGUUUUGCUAUCACUUAUAGAUGGACCUGCGCCGUAUUAGCUAGUUGGUAAGGUAACGGCUUACCAAGGCGACGAUACGUAGCCGACCUGAGAGGGUGAUCGGCCACACUGGAACUGAGACACGGUCCAGACUCCUACGGGAGGCAGCAGUA